GAUGAACGCUAGCUACAGGCUUAACACAUGCAAGUCGAGGGGCAGCAUGGUCUUAGCUUGCUAAGGCCGAUGGCGACCGGCGCACGGGUGAGUAACACGUAUCCAACCUGCCGUCUACUCUUGGACAGCCUUCUGAAAGGAAGAUUGAUACAAGAUGGCAUCAUGAGUCCGCAUGUUCACAUGAUUAAAGGUAUUCCGGUAGACGAUGGGGAUGCGUUCCAUUAGAUAGUAGGCGGGGUAACGGCCCACCUAGUCUUCGAUGGAUAGGGGUUCUGAGAGGAAGGUCCCCCACAUUGGAACUGAGACACGGUCCAAACUCCUACGGGAGGCAGCAGUGAGGAAUAUUGGUCAAUGGGCGAGAGCCUGAACCAGCCAAGUAGCGUGAAGGAUGACUGCCCUAUGGGUUGUAAACUUCUAUCAGCAGGGAAGAUAGUGACGGUACCUGACUAAGAAAGCCCCGGCUAACUACGUGCCAGCAGCCGCCGC
rnacentral:rRNA from 1 species